GUCAGUUUGCCCCGAGUGGUCUAAGGGGUUACGUUCAGGUCGUAAUGUAUUCGUACUCCGUGGGUUCAAAUCCCACAGCUGACA
rnacentral:tRNA from 1 species